rnacentral:rRNA from 1 species
UACGUAGGGUGCAAGCGUUGUCCGGAAUUAUUGGGCGUAAAGGGCUCGUAGGCGGUUUGUCGCGUCGGGAGUGAAAACCAGGUGCUUAACACCUGGCUUGCUUUCGAUACGGGCAGACUAGAGGUAUGCAGGGGAGAACGGAAUUCCUGGUGUAGCGGUGAAAUGCGCAGAUAUCAGGAGGAAUACCGGUGGCGAAGGCGGUUCUCUGGGCAUGACCUGACGCUGAGGAGCGAAAGUGUGGGGAGCGAACAGG